NGGGCUAUAGCCAAGCGGUAAGGCAACGGACUUUGACUCCGUCACUCGUUGGUUCGAAUCCAGCUAGCCCAGCCA
rnacentral:tRNA from 1 species